CGGUGACGAUCUGCGGGCAGAUGAAGUGCACGUGGGUGUCGAUCGUACCGGCGGUGAGGAUCUUCCCGUUGCCGGCGACGACCUCGGUGGCCGGCCCGAUCACCAGCCCCGGGUGUACGCCCGGCAUGGUGUCGGGGUUGCCGGCCUUGCCGAGCGCCACGAUCCGGCCGUCGCGGAUCCCCACGUCGGCUUUGACGAUGCCCCAGUGGUCCAGCACGAUCGCACCGGUGAUCACCAGGUCGAGCGCGCCCUCGGCCCGGGUCGCGCGGGACUGGCCCAUCGACUCG
rnacentral:sRNA from 1 species